rnacentral:rRNA from 1 species
AUUGAACGCUGGCGGCACGCCUAACACAUGCAAGUCGAGCGGUAGCAUGAUUUGUAGCGAUACAGAUUGAUGACGAGCGGCGGACGGGUGAGGAACACGUAGGAACUUGCCCAAGAGAGGGGGAUAACCAAGGGAAACUUUGGCUAAUACCGCAUAAACUCGGAAGAGGAAAGUUAGGUAAGAGAAAUCUUGCCUGGCGCUUUUGGAGAGGCCUGCGUCCGAUUCGCUAGUUGGUGAGGUAAAGGCUCACCAAGGCGAUGAUCGGUAACUGGUCUGAGAGGACGGCCAGUCACACUGGUACUGAUACACGGGCCAGACUCCUACGGGAGGCAGCAGUGGGGAAUAUUGGACAAUGGGGGAGACCCUGAUCCAGCGAUGCCGGGUGAGUGAAGAGGCCUUCGGGUCGUAAAGCUCUUUAGGUUGGGAAGAAGGUAGUGUGAUGAAUGCUACUUGACGGUACUGACAGAAUAAGCACCGGCAAACUCUGUGCCAGCCGCCGCAGUAA